rnacentral:rRNA from 1 species
AGUACGUGAAACUGCUUAGAGGUUAAACCCGAUGAACCUGAAUAUCCAUUAUGGAAAAUUCAAUACUAAUUUAAUAAUAUAUAUCAUAUUAUUUAAAUGGUGUGCAAUUUUUCCAUAUAAGGACAUUGUAAUCUGUUAAUGUAAAUAAAUAUUUAUCAAAAGAUUCUUUACAAUAAGUUUAUUCAAAUUGUUUAUUUUUUUGAAUAUUCAACAUAAAAUAAAUGUAUUGAAUUGGAUAAAUCAUUGACAGAUAUAAUUAUAUAAUGUGCUUAAAUUUAUUUUAUAUGAAUUUAGCAAUGAUAGAUAAAUCUAUAUGAUUUGUUUAUUUAUUUGCCUGCGCUAUUAUGAUUAACAAUGCGAUAGAUUCAGGAUACCUUCGGGACCCGUCUUGAAACACGGACCAAGGAGUCUAACAUAUGUGCAAGUCAUUGGGUAUUUAUAAUAAAACCCAAUGGCAUAAUUAACUUAACUUUUAUAAAAAUGGGAUUAAUUUAUAAUUUUUAAAAAAUUAUUUAUUCAAUCCCGGGGCGUUCUAUAUAGUUAUGUAUAAUAAUAUUUAUAUUAUUUAUACCUCUAACUAGAGCGUACCUUGAGC